rnacentral:rRNA from 1 species
GACGAACGCUGGCGGCGUGCUUAACACAUGCAAGUCGAACGGAAAGGCCCUUCGGGGUACUCGAGUGGCGAACGGGUGAGUAACACGUGGGUGAUCUGCCCUGCACUUUGGGAUAAGCCUGGGAAACUGGGUCUAAUACCGGAUAGGACCACGGCAUUCAUGUGCUGUGGUGGAAAGCUUUUGCGGUGUGGGAUGGGCCCGCGGCCUAUCAGCUUGUUGGUGGGGUAAUGGCCUACCAAGGCGACGACGGGUAGCCGGCCUGAGAGGGUGACCGGCCACACUGGGACUGAGAUAUGGCCCAGACUCCUACGGGAGGCAGCAGUGGGGAAUAUUGCACAAUGGGCGCAAGCCUGAUGCAGCGACGCCGCGUGAGGGAUGACGGCCUUCGGGUUGUAAACCUCUUUCGCCAGGGACGAAGCGCAAGUGACGGUACCUGGAGAAGAAGGACCGGCCAACUACGUG